UGAACACUAGGCAAAUAAAAAUUUCAUAUUUUUAAAAUAUUUCAUUCAAAUAAUCAUUAAUUAUUAAUUACAAUCUUAUAAUUUCUUAGAAUCAUUUUAGAUUCAAAUAUUAUAAUGUAAUUAUAAUGUCUACUUAUAAUGUAAUAAUAAUUUUGUUACAUACUGCGCUCCAAUCGCCCUUGUGCCAUUGUUCACAAGGCCCAGAAUUACAAGCUUGAGUAAUUUCUGGAGGGGGUUUACCACAAUAACUAUCUGGAACGACGCGGUUCUCUAUGUGACAUGCAUAAUAUUCUGGACCCGUUACCGAAUACCAGUUCGCACUGCUUGUUCACAGAAUAAUCUUCCCCGGGUAGCCUUCUCGGGUCCGUUCGUUCCAUUAUCUUAUCCGGCGUGUCCAGCAAACAGUCCCCCUUUCCGGCCCUGAAACGAAUUUCACGAGACUUGAACGGGUCGUCCGGAGGGGGGCUCGUGCAUCAUUCGAGGACCGAAUUUUUGUCGGAAACGGAUGGGAUCCGCCGGUGUGCGCGGCGGUCAUUCAGAAAUGCAGCGGAACCGGAUUCCUAAGCGAGGAGUCGCCUUCUUCGCAGAAAAAUUUACGGCAGAAUCGAGUUGUCCGAUCGAAUCCAAUUUGGAUUUGUUCCCAACGGGUGCAGUGAUUUAUGAUUUCUGCUAGUUUCCUAGUUUCUUAGUUUCCUCAUAAAAUAUAAUAUAAUAUUU